GAAUGGUCCAAUUCAGGUGAAAGUAUCAACUGGUCCAAGAUGGCUAACAUGGGUAAGCCUAGAAUGUCAAAUAUUGGUUUCAGAAGGUUGGUUUAUUUUGCUGGUGGGAGUUGAUGCUGCACACAUUUGUUUUGUAGGGGGUGAGUGGUGCACUGACAGUGCUUAUGAAGGACGCAAUCAAGCCCAAUCUCAUGCAGACACUGGAGGGCACUCCAGUGUUUGUCCAUGCUGGCCCGUUUGCCAACAUCGCACAUGGCAAUUCCUCCAUCAUUGCAGACCGGAUCGCACUCAAGCUUGUUGGCCCAGAAGGGUUUGUAGUGACGGAAGCGGGAUUUGGAGCAGACAUUGGAAUGGAAAAGUUUUUUAACAUCAAAUGCCGGUAUUCCGGCCUCUGCCCUCACGUGGUGGUGCUUGUUGCCACUGUCAGGGCUCUCAAGAUGCACGGGGGCGGCCCCACGGUCACUGCUGGACUGCCUCUUCCCAAGGCUUACAUAGAGGAGAACCUGGAGCUGGUUGAAAAAGGCUUCAGUAACUUGAAGAAACAAAUUGAAAAUGCCAGAAUGUUUGGAAUUCCAGUAGUAGUGGCCGUGAAUGCAUUCAAGACGGAUACAGAGGCUGAGCUGGACCUCAUCAGCCGCCUUUCCAGAGAACAUGGGGCUUUUGAUGCCGUGAAGUGCACUCACUGGGCAGAAGGGGGCAACGGUGCCUUAGCCCUGGCUCAGGCCGUCCAGAGAGCAGCACAAGCACCCAGCAGCUUCCAGCUCCUUUAUGACCUCAAGCUCCCAGUUGAGGAUAAAAUCAGGAUCAUUGCACAGAAGAUCUAUGGAGCAGAU
rnacentral:sRNA from 1 species